UACGAAGGGGGCUAGCGUUGCUCGGAAUCACUGGGCGUAAAGGGUGCGUAGGCGGGUUUUUAAGUCAGAGGUGAAAUCCUGGAGCUCAACUCCAGAACUGCCUUUGAUACUGAAAGUCUUGAGUAUGGGAGAGGUGAGUGGAACUGCGAGUGUAGAGGUGAAAUUCGUAGAUAUUCGCAAGAACACCAGUGGCGAAGGCGGCUCACUGGCCCAUAACUGACGCUGAGGCGCGAUAGCAUGGGGGAGCAAACAGG
rnacentral:rRNA from 1 species